rnacentral:rRNA from 1 species
CAAGGUCUCCGUAGGUGAACCUGCACCCUUGUCUUUUGCGCACUUGUUGUUUCCUGGGCGGGUUCGCCCGCCACCAGUUUUUUAUGCAGUUGCAAUCAGCGUCAGUAUAACAAAUGUAAAUCAUUUACAACUUUCAACAACGGAUCUCUUGGUUCUGGCAUCGAUGAAGAACGCAGCGAAAUGCGAUACGUAGUGUGAAUUGCAGAAUUCAGUGAAUCAUCGAAUCUUUGAACGCACAUUGCGCCCUUUGGUAUUCCAAAGGGCAUGCCUGUUCGAGCGUCAUUUGUACCCUCAAGCUUUGCUUGGUGUUGGGCGUCUUUUGUCUUUGGCCUCGCCCAAAGACUCGCCUUAAAACGAUUGGCAGCCGGCCUACUGGUUUCGCAGCGCAGCACAUUUUUGCGCUUUGCAAUCAGCACAAGGACGGCAAUCCAUCAAGACUACAUUUUUACGUUUGACCUCGGAUCAGGUAGGGAAACCAACCCC